rnacentral:rRNA from 1 species
AUUGAACGCUGGCGGCAGGCCUAACACAUGCAAGUCGAACGAGUGGCGGACGGGUGAGUAAUGUCUGGGAAACUGCCCGAUGGCGGGGGAUAACUACUGGAAACGGUAGCUAAUACCGCAUACCAUCGGAUGUGCCCAGAGUGGAGUCUCUAGUAGGUGGGGUAACGGCUCACCUAGGCGACGAUCCCUAGCUGGUCUGAGAGGCUGACCAGCCACACUGGAACUGAGACACGGUCCAGACUCCGACGGGAGGCAGCAGUGGGGAAUAUUGCGCAAUGGGCGCAAGCCUGAUGCAGCCAUGCCGCGUGUAUGAAGAAGGCCUUCGGGUUGUAAAGUACUUUCAGCGAGGAAGCGUUACUCGCAGAGGAAGCACCGGCUAACUCCGUGCCAGCAGCCGCGGUAAUUC